UGAUCAUGUCUCGGUAACGCCUUCCCAGAGCCCACCGGCGCGCGUGCACGCGCGCGCACACACACACACACACACACACACACACACACACACACACACACACACACACACACAUGGCGACAUAUCUGAAGCUGCGUCUGCGCCUCCUGGGCAGGGCAUGCCCCCAGGCUCUGCGCCUGUCCCGGGGCAGUUGCAAUGCAGCAAGCCUGUUACUGUCACGAAGGAGGUCUCAGAUGAGCUGUAAGAAGCUGAGGGGACCUGCUUUCAAGAGGCAUCUCCAAGAGAGAGACAGAAACCCAAACGGACGUGACUGUGAUGAGGAGAAAACAAGAACAUUCAGGCAGCCUAAUCAGGAGCAGACUCAGUACCUUUUGAGCAGGAAGGAAUUGGCUGUCUUUCUAAAACUCUGAAAAUAAGAAAUUUCAGACACUCUCCCUUCGCGAAGAUAAACAUAAUGAGAGCCACUUGCUGGUUUGCUCUCCAUCUCCACUAACAGUUCAUCAAACCCUCUGCAUGGUCAAUUACCAGGUCAAGGACAGACGAUGAGUUCAAAGAGAGGCAAGGGGGUAAGGUUCAAGUGCAUCAGGGUCAAGCAACACUGGGAAGGGAAUGGGGAGAAUUUGUAUCAGGGGGAGCAACAAGUAGCACCUUUGUGGACUAUCUAAUUAUGUCCCAAAGCCCAGAUAAACAACUGAAUAGAAAUACAAAUGAAGUGAUUAGGGAAAAACCAUUAGAAUAGGCUUUUGCCACUUAACUCCAAGCAGGGGGAAAAAUGCAAUUUAAGGCAACCCUGUCAAUGUCACAAGGGAAUUUUAGAGCCAGAAAGAUAGGCUGUUGUAUUAUGUAAUACAACCUGACAUGCUUAUUAGCUGAUGAAGAGUCUCUGCUAGUUAGAUAGUUUGGGGGAGUUCUUUAGAAUCAAAGGCCUAAAGAACCAAUUUUUUGGAAAUCAAUUGGGUCUCCUCAUUUGCAUUCGGCAUGAAGAGCAAUGGGACCCUUGGCUUGCACUGUCUUAGGAUAGUGGUUUGGCUGUUAUUAUGUCUCCUCUCUGAGAUGAUUCUAAAUACUUAAGCUAUAGAAUGUGCCAAAGCCACCUCUGAUUUAUAUUUAAAAUGAAUUGGAAAAACAUUGAUUAAUUCUGAUCCUUAAGAAAAAUCCUGUAACCUGCAUAAAACUUUUAUAAUUUAUUGAAGUCAAAUUUAUGAACAUUAAAACCAUAAAACACCCUGAUAGUAUUAAUUAUAUAUAUGAAUUUGGCUCUUUACCCUUCAAUUAGCCAUGGCAACUACAACACUGAGAGUUCAACAAUCCUGAUUACCUGUUUGGUCAUUUAAUCAAGAAAAUAAAAAAAGAAACAGAAGAGAAGGAAGUGAUCUUAAACUUCACUGUAUGGGAG
rnacentral:lncRNA from 1 species